GGUUAAGUGAAUAAGGGCGCACGGUGGAUGCCUUGGCACUAGGAGCCGAUGAAGGACGGGACUAACACCGAUAUGCUUUGGGGAGCUGUACGUAAGCUAUGAUCCAGAGAUUUCCGAAUGGGGGAACCCAGCAUCUUUUAUAGGAUGUUACAAAUAUGUGAAUACAUAGCAUAUUUGAGGUAGACGCAGAGAACUGAAACAUCUAAGUACCUGCAGGAAGAGAAAGAAAAUUCGAUUCCCUGAGUAGCGGCGAGCGAAACGGGAAAAGCCCAAACCAACAAGCUUGCUUGUUGGGGUUGUAGGACUCC
rnacentral:rRNA from 1 species